UACAGAGACUGCAAGCGUUAUUCGGAUUCACUGGGCGUAAAGGGUGCGCAGGCGGCCAGGUGUGUGGGGCGUGAAAGCCCGGGGCUUAACCCCGGAAUUGCACCUCAAACUACAUGGCUAGAGCAUUGGAGAGGGUAGCAGAAUUCAUGGUGUAGCAGUGAAAUGCGUAGAUAUCAUGAGGAAUACCAGAGGCGAAGGCGGCUACCUGGACAAUUGCUGACGCUCAGGCACGAAAGCGUGGGGAGCAAAAGGG
rnacentral:rRNA from 1 species